rnacentral:rRNA from 1 species
GACGAACGCUGGCGGCGUGCUUAACACAUGCAAGUCGAACGGAAAGGCGCUGCUUUUGUGGGUUUCUCGAGUGCCGAGCGGGUGAGUGACACGUGAGUAACCUGCCCUUGUCUUUGUGAUAACUUCAGGAAACUGGGGCUAUUACCCGAUAGAAGCUCCUGCUGCAUGUGGUGCGUUGGAAAGUUUCGGCGGUUUGGGCUGGACUCGCUGCUUAUCCGCUUGUUGGUGGGGUAGUGGCUUUCCAAGGGUUUGACGGGUAGCCGGCAUGAGAGGGUGACCGGCGACAAGGGGACUGAGGGACGGACCAGAAUCGUACGGGAGGCAGCAGGGGGGAAUAUGGCAGAAUGAGGGGAAGUCUGAGGCAGAAAUGUCGCGUGCGGGAUGACCGCUUUUGGGGGGAAAACCGAUUUCGAAGGAGACGAAGCGUGAGUGACGGUAACUGGUAAAGAAGCAACGGCUAACUACGUG